rnacentral:rRNA from 1 species
GAUGAACGCUGGCGGCGUGCCUAAUACAUGCAAGUCGAACGGAGAUUCUGUCGUAAUUCGUUACAGCGGAAAUCUCAGUGGCGAACGGGUGAGUAACGCGUUGGUGACCUGCCCCGGAGAGGGGGAUAACAGCUUGAAAAGGCUGCUAAUACCCCAGAUGUCUAGAGGGUUAGAAACCUCUAGACGAAAGGCUUCGGUUGCUUCGGGAGGGGCCUGCGUCCCAUCAGCUAGUUGGUAGGGUAAUGGCCUACCAAGGCGAAGACGGGUAGGGGACCUGAGAGGGUGACCCCCCACAAUGGAACUGAAACACGGUCCAUACACCUACGGGUGGCAGCAGUAGGGAAUAUUGCACAAUGGGCGAAAGCCUGAUGCAGCAACGCCGCGUGCGCGAAGAAGGCCUUCGGGUUGUAAAGCGCUUUUCGGGGAGAAGAGAAAGGACGGUAUCCCCGGAAUAAGGAUCGGCUAACUACGUGCCAGCAGCCGCGGUAAAACGUAGGAUCCGAGCGUUAUCCGAAUUCACUGGGCGUAAAGCGCGUGUAGGCGGUUCGGUAAGUUGGAUGUGAAAGCUCCCGGCUCAACUGGGAGAGGACGUUCAAAACUGUUGGACUAGAGGGCGGAAGAGGGAGGUGGAAUUCCCGGUGUAGUGGUGAAAUGCGUAGAUAUCGGGAGGAACACCAGUGGCGAAGGCGGCCUCCUGGGCCGCACCUGACGCUCGGACGCGAAAGCUAGGGUAGCAAACGGGAUUAGAAACCCCGGUAGUCCUAGCUGUAAACGAUGUAGACUUGGUGUUGGUGGGGUAAAAGCCAUCAGUGCCGGAGCAAACGCGAUAAGUCUACCGCCUGGGGACACGACCGCAAGGUU